rnacentral:rRNA from 1 species
AUUGAACGCUGGCGGCAGGCCUAACACAUGCAAGUCGAACGGUAACAGGAAGCAGCUUGCUGCUUUGCUGACGAGUGGCGGACGGGUGAGUAAUGUCUGGGAAACUGCCCGAUGGAGGGGGAUAACUACUGGAAACGGUAGCUAAUACCGCAUAACUUCGCAAGACCAAAGAGGGGGACCUUAGGGCCUCUUGCCUUCGGAUGUGCCCAGAUGGGAUUAGCUAGUAGGUGGGGUAACGGCUCACCUAGGCGACGAUCCCUAGCUGGUCUGAGAGGAUGACCAGCCACACUGGAACUGAGACACGGUCCAGACUCCUACGGGAGGCAGCAGUGGGGAAUAUCGCACAAUGGGCGAAAGCCUGAUGCAGCCAUGCCGCGUGUAUGAAGAAGGCCUUCGGGUUGUAAAGUACUUUCAGCGGGGAGGAAGGGAGUAAAGUUAAUACCUUUGCACAUUGACGUUACCCGCAGAAGAAGCACCGGCUAACUCCGUG